CAAAUGAACACGGCAGGUCGUAAACAGGCUGCGUGCGGCAAUACGGAACGACUCUUCAUAUAUAGUUGUAGAAUUACCGAAAAUCAGGUCCAUUUUACUCCGUCUUUCUGGUUUGUUUACUGAGCCUGCUGCAAUAAAAAACGAUGCUGGUCAUCGUAUUCUGUGCUCCGAGGGAAACCACUUUCGCCCUCGAUGUUUCUCCGGACCUGGAACUGAGAGACUUCUUAGCACUGUGUGAGCUGGAAUCAGGAAUCCCAGCUGGGGAGAUUCAGAUCACACAUUUAGAACAGCCAUUAAAGGACCCCACCCGUGGUUUGGGGAACUAUGGAGUCCAGGAUGGAGAUAUGGUGGUUCUUAGACAAGCUGAAAGAAGACCACCACCUUCACAGCCAGCCUUUCCAGGUCUGCCACGCAUCGACUUCAGUUCCAUCACAGUCCCGGGCACCUCCACUAGCAUUAGACCGCAGCAGCCAAAUCCACAGCAACAGCCAUCACAGCGUCCUGUACAACCUUCCACACCAUCAGCCUCUCGUGGCUCCUCGUCUUCUCAGGGGCUGGAUGAUCCUGCCUUACUCCAGCAAAUGCUGCUAGCUAAUCCACAUGAGCUAUCUCUCUUAAAGGAGCGCAACCCACCGCUUGCAGAGGCCUUGCUGAGUGGUGACUUAGAUCGCUUCAAGAGAGUGCUACAGGAGCAGCAGCAGGAUCGAGUCAAAAAGGAGCAGGAGAGAAUCCGACUGUUGACUGCUGAUCCUUUUGAUUUGGAGGCUCAAGCAAAGAUUGAAGAGGAAAUAAGGCAACAUAACGUGGAAGAAAACAUGACUAUUGCAAUGGAGGAAGCGCCUGAAAGCUUUGGCCAGGUGGUGAUGCUCUACAUCAACUGCAAAGUGAACGGACAUCCAGUGAAAGCUUUCGUGGAUUCUGGUGCUCAGAUGACCAUUAUGAGCCAAGCGUGUGCCGAGAGAUGCAACAUCAUGCGUUUAGUUGACCGACGCUGGGCUGGGAUCGCCAAAGGAGUUGGAACACAGAAGAUCAUCGGCAGAGUUCAUCUGGCUCAGGUCCAGAUAGAGGGAGACUUUCUACCAUGUUCUUUCUCCAUCCUGGAGGACCAGCCAAUGGACAUGCUGCUCGGCCUGGAUAUGUUGAAGAGACACCAGUGUUCCAUCGACCUGAAGAAGAGCGUGCUCCUAAUAGGCACGACUGGUACUGAGACGCGCUUUUUAUCAGAAGCAGAGCUUCCAGAGUGUGCGCGUCUUGCCUAUGGUCCAGAGGGCCGAGAGGACAUCCGUCCGGAGGAGAUGGAGGACAAAGAGCUAGCAGAAGCACUUCAGAGGUCUAUACAGGAAAGUGGUAAGACCACCAUCUCAUCUUUGCCUGUUUUCACAAUGCUUUUUUUCAGUUUAGUUAGUAACUCAUCUGCAUGUUUCUCAACCCCAUAUUUUCUCAUGUCUGACUACUUUUGCGAACCUAAACAGAACAUGCUCACCUGGCUGGCUCGAGCAUUUAUCUCGAGGUUAACAAUCAAUAUGAAAUUGGAUCUAGUCUGGAUCAAUGCUGGUAAUAACUUAGAUUACUGCGACUUUGAAACUUGCAGUGCUGUCAGGCUGAAACUUUUCAAAAGGGGAAAUGUAUUUAAUUUCUUGCCAACUAUAAUGUGCGCAGAACUAUGGGCAUCCAAAUAGUGGUUGGCUGACAACGUCCCUGACUGUUGAUAGAUGCUGAGGAGGUCUGUUGUCCGUCACUCACAAAGAGUAGAGCCACCACUGUUUCAUUGGAUAGAAGUGGUGGUCUUCUGGCAAUUUAUGUGGAGUGACACAGGGUUGGAUUCUUUUGUGUUUGUAACCUCUCAGCCCAGCCAUGACCUCGAAGUCAGGAGCAGGAGCACCAUUACUGGGCUCAGUCAUGGAUUUCUUUACCCUCAUGACUCUCAUUUGGUCGACAAGUGGGGGCUCCAAAUAUGCUUAUUUGCUUUCUUUAGAUCAAUAUCUUCACCAUAUAGAUAUCCUGGUAUAAGACUUGAUAUCCACGUGUGUAGUGAGGUCAAAAAGUGUGACGCAUGCUCUGCGUGUGGGUGUGAGACUGCUAACUUUUUCCGUCCCUUUGCAUGAUGUGUGUGCCGUGUGCCUUAACCACUGAGCAGGACAGCACUGAUGCAUUACAAGACAGCUGGAGAGGGCCCAAACCAACCAGACACUGCAGAUGGACAAACUACCUCACCACAACCCGAGCCAUUUACAUUACCCGAAAAUUUAGACCAGACUUCUCUAUCCGCUCCGCCGCCUCCCCCUCCUCCUUUUCCUCCCCCCUUAAGUCGGCCUGAGAACCCAACUGCGAGUCC